AUAAAUCCUAGUGCAAUCUCUCUGAACCCUCUCUCUAUUUACUUUCAGUUAUUUAUUUUCCUUUACUAUUUCGUCUUUUAUUUUCUGUUGCUAUCUUUAUUUUUAACUAUACUAACAUAAACGGCUAUUUUUUGUAAUUAAUCUUCAAUUAAUCGCGAAUUUUGAAUAACACAAUGCAUCCAUCUUUUCUUGGAGUAAUUUUUUUUUAACGAAUUUGACUUUUUUAAUUGUAGUUCGCUUUUAUUUAGUUUGUUUUCCUAUUUUUGAUUUAAAUAAUUAUAAUUAUCAAUUUAAUUUUGAUUCGAUUCAAAACCAUGUCAUGCUCGAGACAAAUAAUUAAGAAUUAGGGUAAAUUCUAGCAAACUAUUAUGAAAGUUAUAUUCAAUUACCUUUGAGUUCAAAAAUGAACUCACCUAACUAUAUUAGCGGUGUUCAAAUCCAAAUCGAUCCAAAUUAAAAUCGCAAACUGAUCCAGAAAAAUUGAAAAAUUGCCAAAACUGAAUAUUAUUUGAUGUGUUUGGAUAUCAUUUUGUAAAAUUCUCUCGAUUCAGAUUGAAUUGCGAAUCGAUUUUUCAAAACUGGUCUAAAUCGAACUGGACCGCGUAUAUAUAUUUUUUUAUACUAGUUUUUUAUUAAUAAGAAAUAUUGUGUUAAUUUAUUAUUCGAUGAUAAUUAUUUUUUAAUACUAUUUAUUAGUUUAAUUCGAUUUAUUUAUUUUUAUUAUUUCAUCUAUUUCAAUCAUAAUCAAUCAUUCUCAAUUUUGCAAUAUUAAUUUUUAAUAUACUAUAUAUUAUAUAUUAUAUUAAAUUUACUAAUAUUUUUAUAAUCUUAAUAAAAAUAUAAUUUAAAAUUUGGAUAUUAAAAAACUGAUUCAAAUUAAACUCAUAUAAUAUUAAAUCAGAUGAAAUUAAAUAUUUUUAAUUAUUCAAAAUUGAACCGAAUCGCAAAUAAAUUAAUUUAUUCGCCACCGCACACGGCGAACACCCCUAAACUAUAUGCAAAGUAUAUAACUAAGAAUUUUUUAAUUCUUUCUAAAAUUGACAAAUUCUAUAUCUCUAGCUAUAUAUUGCCCACUAGAAUAACCCCCUUGAAUUAGAUCCCAACCAAAAUCGAAUCUCCUAAAAAAACAAACACAACAAUAGUACACCUUUCUAUCAAAGCAUGUGAACCAUUCAACAAUCUGGCUACCCACAUGCUCUCCCUCUUUGACAUAAAUAAAUCUACUAAAUUAACCAACUUUCCUAACAUGCAAAUUAAAUCCAAAAAGAAGAAAAGCAUCGUGUGAGAUUUCAUUACCUUCAACCUUCUUUUCACAAGUCACUUACUUUUUUUUCUAAUGCAACAACUUUCACCCAUUUUUGCUCAUUAUAUUUAGUGCCUUUUCAUUUAUGUUAUUUUGUAUUUAUCAAGUAGAAGAAAGUUUUUAAAUGUAUUAAAACAUAUGGGGUCUCAUUGUCAUCUUCUUUUUAUAUGAUUUUGCUUUGUUAAUUAGUAUAUCAAAUUAAGGAAAACGAUUGAGACUCGUCAUGCUUUUUGGUUUAGCAUAAUAUUGCAUGUGUUUGAUUGCUAUUGGUUACUAUUUUUUUAAUGAAAAAUAAAGAAUCAUUAUACCAAUUAUUUUUUUCAUGAUUUGGAGCACAAAGUCUAUAGGCUUCUCGAAGGGAAUAACUAUAAAUAAAUAGAAAAUUUGACAUAUUUAUUUUGCUUUCAUCCAUUUGAUACCUACCAAAAUAUUGUCCGUUCAUUUUUAUUUUUUUUAGUGUGGAGAAAUAUUCUUUCCAUUUGAAUGCAGGCAAUUAAGAGUUGGAAUACAAGCUGUUAACUAAAGAAAGAAAAAGAUAUAUGGAUACUCACUUAAAAAAGAUGGGUGGAUAAGAUUUUUAUUCUUAUCACACAUUAACUAAAAUGAAGAUUACUCUAAACCACUAAUAGUUUAAGUUUUAUUAAAAAGUUUUAAAUUAUUCUCCCAAACUUGUUGUCAACCCUCAAUUUAGUUGAUUUGUAUUCCUUCUUUUUUGCGCACUUGGUGGUGGCUACACAUUCAGUCUUAUGGUCAAUCUAAGGUUACCAUUAUGCAUGUAUCUAAUUAUCAUAAAAGUAAAAUAAAUGGCCACUUGUUUUACUGGUUGGUUACUCCUCAAUGUGGAAUUAAAAAUACACAUUGUUGAGGGAGCUCUUUCAACGUGGCAGCCAGAUUUUUUUUUAUAUUCUAAUAUUUAAGUCAACGAAAUUUAUAGAUAUUUAGUUUGAGAGUGAGAAUGUGAUAAUAUCUUAAAUGAUGCGUCGUUAGACUUAUAUAUGGAAGACGGUUAAAAUUACUUCUGUCUAACCUGACGUGAGACACGAUGAGUCGUCCGAUCAGAUCCAAUGACAAAUGAAACAUUAGGAGUUGAGAUUAAGUGUCUGGCUUUUGGCAAGGUCCCACUUAUUUUUUUAAUCGCUUAAUGGACUCUACAGAUUGUGCCUCAUAAUUAGGCCUUCUUUUUUAGGAUUUUGGCUAAUCUGAAACAUUUUCCCUAAGUCCUUGCGUGAGGAUUGACAUUGUCGGACCUCCCUUUGAUGUCAUCAUAUUAUGUCUUGGUUAGCCAUGGAUUCGUGGAAGAUGAAGAGUUCUAUAAGUUAGAAUAGGUGGUCUCGAGAACACUCGUAUUAAAUGUUUGUAUCAAAAAGUGAAGUCAGACCUAGGCAGGUCGGAUCUCGACGGAAGCUCGUCGAUGACCUCGACAAACAUGUCUUUGUUGUCUUGGUAUGUCAGGAUGACAAGAGAACUUUGAUUUUCGUCUUUGAAGAAAUGGUUAAAAUUUUCAUAAAGUUUUUAUAACUAUAAAAUUAUAAUUAUAAUUUUUAAAUAAAAAUAACUUUAUUUUCUCUUAUCUUAUAAUAGAAAUUAUCUCAUACUUAAAUACAUAUACUUAUGUAUAAAACGCUUAAUCAAAUCAUUUACGUAAACAACUAAAUUAAACUUUCUUUCUAGCUAAGCAACUUCUUCAAUCACGAUUCAUAAUAAAAGAUACCAACCUAUAGAUCGCAUUGUAUCUAUUUUAAAUCAAUUAUAAGAAUGUUUAUUUUUUAGAACAAUUAUUUAGUAUUUAUCAAUCUUGUUGAGCACUACUCUCUGCAUAAAAUUAUUUGAGCGUUCAUAUUUUAAUUUUAAUUAUUGCCUAUGUAUUUUUUUACAGAAAUUAUUGCCUAAAAUUACUACAUGGAAAUUCUCUUUCACUCUAUUGCUGAUGAUGACAUUCAAUCAAAGAAUAAUUAUCUCAAGCCUCGUCAGUCAAAGAUAUCAAGUUUCAGUCAAAGUGUUAGACAUUGAUGAAUCAAGCAAAGGAAUUUGUAGACAUGGAGUUGUGAUUUUGAAGCUCGAAGGCUUGAAAGUGUGAAAGUGUGAAAACUUGUUUGAUCUAGCACUUAGAGUUUUUCUUAGUCUUGAUCAAUUUAUUGUAAAAUAAACAAGAGGAAAUCUUACUAAGAUAAUCACACACACAUAAAAAAACGAUCUUCAAAACUCUUCUCUUUUGUUAAAACCUCUUCAAAUCAAUUAGGGCAACCACUUAAUUGAUUGAACGCUUACUUAAUCAAUUAGAAAUGUUAAAAUACAUUGCCUAA